GUAGCUCAAUGAUAGAGCACUUGCUUAGAAUGCAUUAGUCCCUGGGUUCCAUCCCCAGC
rnacentral:tRNA from 1 species